rnacentral:rRNA from 1 species
UGCAUCGAUGAAGAACGCAGCGAAAUGCGAUAAGUAAUGUGAAUUGCAGAAUUCAGUGAAUCAUCGAAUCUUUGAACGCACAUUGCGCCCCCUGGCAUUCCGGGGGGCAUGCCUGUUCGAGCGUCAUUACACCACUCAAGCCUGGCUUGGUAUUGAGCGCCGCGGCCUGCCCGCGCGCUCCAAUGUCUCCGGCCGAGCCGUCCGUCUCUAAGCGUUGUGAAUAGCGAUCGCUUGCGAGGCCCGGGCGGUUUGACGCCGUUAAACCCCCCAUUUUCUAUGGUUGACCUCGGAUCAGGUAGGGAUACCCGCUGAACUUAAGCAUAUCAAUAAGCGGAGGA